CCUUGCGGUUUUUUUUCCAAGAAACUAUCACACACUGAAAGGAGAUAUGACAUUGGUGAUAGAGAACUUUUAGCUAUCAUUAUGGCAUUAAAGGAAUGGAGACAUCUGUUAGAGGGCACUGUCCUCCCAGUUACUAUCUUGACUGAUCACAAAAAUUUAUCUUAUAUGGGGGAGGCCAAAAGAUUAUCUGCCAGGCAGGCACGUUGGUCUAUGUUCCUUACACACUUUAAUUAUGUGCUUACUUACAGGCCUGGUUCUAAGAACACUAAGGCAGACGCUUUGUCUCGUCAGCACGAACCUAUCGCCUCUACAGAAGACACUUUGUUCCCUAUUAUUCCUGAAGUCAAUAUUAUCGCCAACACCAAUGUCAAAAUACACUCUCCAUUGCUCGUAGAUAUUAUGAACGAACAAUCUCUUGCUCCCGAGCGUACUCCUGUGGGCCGCUUGUUCGUGUCUCCAAAAUUCCAAGUAGACAUUAUUCGCUGUUUUCACGAUAGCAAGUUCGCUGGUCACCCCGGCAUCC